rnacentral:ncRNA from 1 species
CUAAAAUUUGAUUCUGGUUUAUUUUUUCAUUAAUUGAACAUUUUACAUGUAAAUUUUAGUGUGAAUUUUAUCAUAUCUAAAAGAUUAUGAUUAUUAAAUUAUUCGCAGUAAAGAAUAUUAAUUAUUAGGGUAAUCUAGAAUUAGUGAUUUAGUUUAACAUUGGCUAAAUUCGUGCCAGCUGCCGCGGUUAUACGUGGAAUGUUAGUGAAAUGUUUCGGCUUGAGAGUUAAUUUUAAUUAAAAUUAAAGUUUAAUUUAUUUUUGAAGGUGGAAUUUGAAUACUAUUAUAACUUUAUUUAUAAGUUAGUGAAGCUUUGAAAUUUUAAUGAUAAACUAGGAUUAGAUACCCUAUUAUAUAAAAAGUAAAUUUAUUUAAGAGCUAGGGUAGUAGUAGUUAAGAUCUUGAAACUUAAAGAAUUUGGCGGUGUUUUAAUCUAUUCAGAGGAAUUUGCCCUUUAACCGAUAGUACACGUUUUAAUAUACUUAAUUUUGAAUUUCAGUAUGUAUACCGCCGUCAUAAGAAUAUCUUUGGAGAGUUAAUUUUCUUGAUGUUUUGAAUAAAUUAUGUCAGGUCGAGGUGCAGCUUAUGAUUAAGUAGAGGUGAAUUACAAUAAAGUGAUUUAAACGGAUUUUGUUUUGUAAAGAUAAAUGAAGGUGGAUUUGAAAGUAAUAUUAUUUUAUUAUGAUAAUAUGACUGUAGCUCUAAAACAUGUACACAUCGCCCGUCGCUCUCGCUAUAAGGUGAGAUAAGUCGUAACAAAGUAGGUGUACUGGAAAGUGUACCUAGAUAGAU